UGGGGGAUAUUGCACAAUGGGCGAAAGCCUGAUGCAGCGACGCCGCGUGGGGGAUGAAGGCUUUCGGGUUGUAAACCUCUUUCGCUAUCGAACAAGGCCCGCUUAGGGUGGGUUGAGGGUAGGUGGAGAAGAAGCGCCGGCUAACUACGUGCCAGCAGCCGCGGUAAUACGUAGGGCGCGAGCGUUGUCCGGAAUUAUUGGGCGUAAAGGGCUUGUAGGCGGCUUGUUGCGCCUGCUGUGAAAACGCGGGGCUUAACUUCGCGCGUGCAAUGGGUACGGGCAGGCUUGAGUGUGGUAGGGGUGACUGGAAUUCCAGGUGUAGCGGUGGAAUGCGCAGAUAUCUGGAGGAACACCGAUGGCGAAGGCAGGUCACUGGGCCAUUACUGACGCUGAGGAGCGAAAGCAUGGGUAGCGAACAGG
rnacentral:rRNA from 1 species